rnacentral:rRNA from 1 species
AACGAACGCUGGCGGCAUGCCUAACACAUGCAAGUCGAACGAGACCUUCGGGUCUAGUGGCGCACGGGUGCGUAACGCGUGGGAACCUGCCCUUAGGUUCGGAAUAACUCCCCGUAAGGGGUGCUAAUACCGGAUAAUGUCUUCGGACCAAAGAUUUAUCGCCUUUGGAUGGGCCCGCGUUGGAUUAGCUAGUUGGUAGGGUAAAAGCCUACCAAGGCGACGAUCCAUAGCUGGUCUGAGAGGAUGAUCAGCCACACUGGGACUGAGACACGGCCCAGACUCCUACGGGAGGCAGCAGUGGGGAAUAUUGGACAAUGGGCGAAAGCCUGAUCCAGCAAUGCCGCGUGAGUGAUGAAGGCCUUAGGGUUGUAAAGCUCUUUUACCCGGGAUGAUAAUGACAGUACCGGGAGAAUAAGCGCCGGCUAACUCCGUG